AUCGCAUCUAUAAAGAUAUUUAUAGCUUAUAUAUGACUAAUGAAAUCAUUUAAGCUGAUGAGUUAAUACGAGAAGAUAUUUUUUACUUUUAUCAGAAGAUCUUAACAAUUUUUUUUGUUCUCUAUAAAAUGAGCUUUUUUUUCACGUCUUUAUUUAUUUAGCUCGGGAAAUUAUGUUAAUUAUGUGACUAAAACAAUUGCUUAUUGCGUACUUUUACGUAUUGAUAUAAUAUCAUAAUGUUGUUUCAAAAAUCAUAAUUAUCUUAUAAAGUUAUAAGUUAUGUCUCAAAAAAUGAAGUCCCUACAACACAAAGGAAGAGAGUUUAACGGGAGUGCGGCUCGGAUUUUUUGUUACUGAUUUUAAGCCAGAUAUUUUUUAUAAUAUAAUAUCAGGCUUUUAUAUCGAAUCAAUAAAUAUUAAUCAAUACAUUCAUUGCGAUGCUUAAAUUUGCGGUUGAAAGCUCGUGUCAUAUACAUAAAUAAUGUACAUUAGGAUGCAAAAAUUUAGCAAAAGGAAACCUGUUUGCACAGUACACGUCUAGUAACUCUUCUGAAGAUAUCACGUAAGCACAAGAUGAUACAUCGACGUGUCUUGAACAUGUUUAUCAUUAUGAUGAUAAUGGUAUUAGCAGCUGCUGUAUUGGAAACAAAAAUGUGUCCUACUAAUUCCAUUGCUAUUAAAGGUGCGGGAGGUACCGUGCGAUGUAUACCAAAAAUUAAUUAAAGAAUAUUUCUAGCUAUCUCAGGACCUAUUCUGAUCUGUAAAUGUGUGGGUUAAAAUCAGCAAAGACCCAGUAUACUGAACCUGUAUGAUUAAUCCCGAAUUUUUUUUAUAGCAAAUUAAAAAAGACUUGAAAUUGAAAUGAUUAGGAAUAGCAAAUAUUCCUUUAAAUAAAUCUUUAUCUUCGUAAGAAGAACUUAUUGUUGUAUCUAAAUGCGACUAAUUAUACCUUUUUGUAUAAUAUGUGCUAUGUAUUCCGACUUGUGAAUUAUUUUUAUUAGAAAUAAAAUACUUUAUGUACAA